rnacentral:rRNA from 1 species
UACGUAGGCAGCGAGCGUUGUUCGGAGUUACUGGGCGUAAAGGGCGCGUAGGCGGCCUGCUAAGUCGAACGUGAAAUCCCCCGGGCUCAACCCGGGGAACUGCGUCCGAUACUGGCAGGCUUGAAUCCGGGAGAGGGAUGCGGAAUUCCAGGUGUAGCGGUGAAAUGCGUAGAUAUCAGGAGGAACACCGGUGGCGAAGGCGGUUCUCUGGGGCCUGUACUGACGCUGAGGAGCGAAAAGCGUGGGGGAGCGAACAGG